rnacentral:lncRNA from 1 species
UCAUUCCACUAUAACCAUAAACCCCCUACAAAGCCUAAUGCUUCGAUUCUAAAAGAAUAUUCAAAGCUGGAUAUCGCAAUGACUGGAUCUGCCUUAAGAUCAGUAAUUCGAGUUUCAAAAAAAGCAACAAAAUCUGGAGAAAACUCUGUUCUAUAAUCCUUUAAAAAUUGUUGAACGGGUGCGUCCACACCCACGACAAUUCAAAAAAAAUGAAAAUUGAAAUCCACCAUCAUCAGAUAAAAAUAAAGAAAUAAGCUUUUACCACUGAAAUCAUGCAGCCCCCAUAUCCAUUAGAAAUUCAUUCUCCGAACCUUUAACAUCAACAACAUUCCCCUUCAUUUCCAUUUCUUCCCCAACCUCACGAUUUAGCACUUAUAGAAUAUCUUCUGUUUCCCC